rnacentral:rRNA from 1 species
GACAGAGGGGGCAAGCGGUGUCCGGAGUUACUGGGCGUAAAGGGCGCGGAGGCGGUCUGCGGCGUCGGCGCUGAAAGCGCCCCGCUUAACGGGGCGAGGCCCGCCGAUACGGGCAGGCUCGAGGCGAGCAGAGGGUGGUGGAAUUCCGGGUGGAGCGGUGAAAUGCGUAGAGAUCCGGAGGAACGCCAGUGGGGAAGGCGGCCACCUGGGCCCGACCUGACGCUGCGGCGCGACAGCGUGGGGAGCAAACCGG